rnacentral:rRNA from 1 species
CCUGGCUCAGGAUGAACGCUGGCGGCGUGCCUAAUACAUGCAAGUCGAGCGAACAGACGAGGAGCUUGCUCCUCUGACGUUAGCGGCGGACGGGUGAGUAACACGUGGAUAACCUACCUAUAAGACUGGGAUAACUUCGGGAAACCGGAGCUAAUACCGGAUAAUAUAUUGAACCGCAUGGUUCAAUAGUGAAAGACGGUUUUGCUGUCACUUAUAGAUGGAUCCGCGCCGCAUUAGCUAGUUGGUAAGGUAACGGCUUACCAAGGCAACGAUGCGUAGCCGACCUGAGAGGGUGAUCGGCCACACUGGAACUGAGACACGGUCCAGACUCCUACGGGAGGCAGCAGUAGGGAACUUCCGCAAUGGGCGAAAGCCUGACGGAGCAACGCCGCGUGAGUGAGAGGUCUUCGGAUCGUAAAACUCUG